rnacentral:rRNA from 1 species
GUGCCAGCAGCCGCGGUAAGACGUAGGGGGCAAGCGUUGUCCGGAAUUAUUGGGCGUAAAGCGCUCGUAGGUGGAUUUGCAAGUCUGCAAGGAAAGACCCGGGCUCAACUCGGGAACCCGUGUGGAUACUGCAAACCUUGAGGUAGUCAGAGGAUGAUGGAAUUCCCGGUGUAGCGGUGAAAUGCGCAGAUAUCGGGAGGAACACCAGUGGCGAAGGCGAUCAUCUGGGGCUAACCUGACACUGAGGAGCGAAAGCUAGGGGAGCAAACGGGAUUAGAUACCCUAGUAGUCC